rnacentral:rRNA from 1 species
GACGAACGCUGGCGGCGUGCUUAACACAUGCAAGUGGUGCGACGAACCAGGCUUCGGCCUGGGGCGAAGCCGCGAACGGGUGAGUAACACGUGGGCAAUCUGCCCCUUUGAUCGGGACAACCCGGGGAAACCCGGGCUAAUACCGAAUGAGGUGGCGACUCAUGAGAGUCGUCACGAAAGGAAGCUUCGGCCUCCGCGAAGGGAUGAGCACGCGGCCCAUUAGCUUGUUGGUGGGGUAAGGGCCUACCAAGGCAACGAUGGGUAGCUGGUCUGAGAGGACGAUCAGCCACACUGGGACUGAGACACGGCCCAGACUCCUACGGGAGGCUGCAGUGGGGAAUCUUGCGCAAUGAGCGACAGCUUGACGCAGCAACGCUGCGUGAGGGAAGAAGGCUUUCGGGUCGUAAACCUCUUUCAGUUAGGACGAAGCUUUAUUGGUUAAUAACCAAUUGGAGUGACGGUACUUUCAGAAGAAGCCCCGGCUAACUACGUGCCAGCAGCCGCGGUAA